rnacentral:rRNA from 1 species
UACGUAGGGUGCAAGCGUUAAUCGGAAUUACUGGGCGUAAAGCGUGCGCAGGCGGUUAUGCAAGACAGAGGUGAAAUCCCCGGGCUCAACCUGGGAACUGCCUUUGUGACUGCAUGGCUAGAGUACGGCAGAGGGGGAUGGAAUUCCGCGUGUAGCAGUGAAAUGCGUAGAUAUGCGGAGGAACACCGAUGGCGAAGGCAAUCCCCUGGACCUGCACUGACGCUCAUGCACGAAAGCGUGGGGAGCAAACAGG